rnacentral:rRNA from 1 species
GACGAACGCUGGCGGCGUGCCUAAUACAUGCCAGUUGAGCGCUGAAGGUUGGUACUUGUACCGACUGGAUGAGCAGCGAACGGGUGAGUAACGCGUGGGGAAUCUGCCUUUGAGCGGGGGACAACAUUUGGAAACGAAUGCUAAUACCGCAUAAAAACUUUAAACACAAGUUUUAAGUUUGAAGGAUGCAAUUGCAUCACUCAAAGAUGAUCCCGCGUUGUAUUAGCUAGUUGGUGAGGUAAAGGCUCACCAAGGCGAUGAUACAUAGCCGACCUGAGAGGGUGAUCGGCCACAUUGGGACUGAGACACGGCCCAAACUCCUACGGGAGGCAGCAGUAGGGAAUCUUCGGCAAUGGACGAAAGUCUGACCGAGCAACGCCGCGUGAGUGAAGAAGGUUUUCGGAUCGUAAAACUCUGUUGGUAGAGAAGAACGUUGGUGAGAGUGGAAAGCUCAUCAAGUGACGGUAACUACCCAGAAAGGGACGGCUAACUACGU